CCUUCAGCAACAACAACAAAAAAUGGAGCAAGUGAAUUAGUGUGAAAUUAGUGUGAAAAUAUGAAGUUCUGUAGAUGCACAUAAUUCAGGCAGUGUUAAAGUUGUUUCACUGGAAGAUUCAGAUUAUUAAAAUCUACAGACUUCAUAGAAAAGACCAGAUUUAUAAAAAGGAUGAGAAGAACUGGAAUGUUUCGUCAAAUCAAUUUUAUUUCCUCCUGCCAUAAUAUUUUUAACAUUGUGAAAAAAACACUAUAUAGAUUUGAGUAGUGAAUUUGCAUGUGCAAUUAUACUGUGCAUCAGAGGUGGUUUUCUCUUCUAAUAUCGUAUUUGGAUUUUGUACCUUUAUGUAUGGGAACAUGUCCAGAUGUCUCAGGGGCCAUCCCCGUUACUCCUUGCUUGAAGCACUUCCAUCUAAAAAAUUAUUUUUCAAGUACUUUAAUAAUCAGAUUCCAAAAUAUCAUUAGUGUAACUGAGGGCAGAGGUAAUUAUGCAUAUGUGUCUGAUUAAUAUUGAGUUUCUUUUGUGUGCUCAGAUAGUUUAAAAAAAAAAUCAUAAGUUUUUCUGUAGCUGUCUCCUGGUUUGAUAAUACUGUGGAUUCCAUUCCUUUAUCUAAAAGGCCACUAAACUUUUCUCCAGUUGUGGCUGCAUCCUGUGACCCACAAAGCAACGUGUGUUUGGUUUUUUUUAAUCAGUUCAGCAACACCUGGUACUGAGAAGAGAGCGUGUUCUUUACAAUCUGGUAUUUUUCUGGACAUCGUGUUUGUGUAUUUGGUGGGCAUCCAUUUUUAUCUCAGUGUUUCUUCUCGUGCUCUUAACACCAGCAUCCUUUCCCUACCCGUGGAAUUACCCUGCGCAGUAAUUGAUUUAAAGUUACAUAAAUGUUUAUCAGCCAUCAAGUUUUAGACUUUAUUUACCUCAUUCAUGCUUACAUCUGGUCCAAUUGCAAAAUAUCUGAAAGUGAUUUUCUGGAGAGAAAGACAAAUAACUCCUGCAAUUUGGUUAACUGAAUACCAUUGAGGGCUUCAUGUUACUACAUAUAGGUAUGGUCUGAAUAUCAAGUAGUUCCUGCUUCAAAAAGAGAAUUUAAAUAGUCUAAAAACUCUGUAAUGAAAACCUUUAUUUCAAAUCAAUUAGCUGCUGCAUUCUUGUAUUUGUACUUGAACAAAGUAGAAAAUAGCGUCUGGGUUUUUUUGAUUACUUACCAUUAGUGUUAUAUUUCCUGACCAUAUUGUGUUAAUCCUCAGAGUUUUAUUAAUAAAUUUCUAUAAUGUAAAAUUCCAACAUUUCCCUGCAAAAUACAAUAUUAACUGUGUGUGAUGUUCAGCUGCAGAACAGUUUCUGAUCUGAGAAGGAGUCAAAUCAUCAAAGUUUAUACACAGUAAAAUGCUUAACUUGGAGAUGGACUUACCAGUCAUCGUUAUUGCUCUGUGACUGGAGGGAGAAGUUCACACACCUGAGUUACUGCAGGUGCGAGGUACCUGAAUUCAGCCUCCCAAAAGCCGGCUCCGGCUGCACUCACCGGAGAGCACAGAAAAUGGAAGAGGAUGAGUCCACGUUUGAAACCUGGGACUGGCUGCUGUGUUUGACCCGGGCAUUCAGGGCAGUGAGGAACCCGCAACAACACGUGGCCAGCUGGAAAAGAUGGAUCACAAGCCAAAAGGAGUGGCAUGAAAGAUUUCCCCUUUUUUUCCGUACAAGAAAGAAACAAAAAUGACUUGUAGUAUUAUGAUCCAGCAGACUCUUAGACCUGCAUCGUUGGGCCUCUAACAAUGGUAAGAAAAUCUCAUUUCUAAUGAUGCGAAAUUGCAUUACAUUAAAUCAUUACUACACGUGUUCCAAAAUCCAUUGGUCCUACUGUUAGUAAAGCUUUGUACGCUUGACAGCACCAUUAAGUCAUGAGGUUAUACAAGGGACAACUCUCUCGCUGGAAGAUAUAUGUUAUGCCUUCAUAGCAAUUCAAUUUGCAUAGAAAAACAUUGGGAUUUAGCUAAAAUGUUUUGGAAGCAAUGCCAGAAAACACAGUUAUCUUGAAUUGCCUUUCCUCAGUACAUUUUGCUAAGCUAUUAGAAAUAUCAGUCCCUUUUUCUUCGGAUUGCUUUUCUCCAGUUACACCCUGUUUUUACGUUGUGUUCUACCCUGGUGUGUUUUAACCAAACCCUUGCUAGUCCCGUAGGUUUUAAUGACACUCACCAAUGUUUGUUGUUUUCCAGGAAAGAUAAGCCCUUGUUCUGAAACAUUCAGGGGCAGAUUUUCAAAGGUGCUUAAGCAUCCAAGAAUAUUUUAUGGGAUUUCACCUGCUUGGGCAGGUGCCUAGCUACAUUCCUGCAUCCUUCAAUGACUGUGCACCUCCAAAAACAUGUUUCUUGCCUAAUCUGGAUAGACUGGGAAAACAUGAACCAAUAUAACUUGGAAUGAAAAGAGGAGGUACCAGAAUAAAGGGAGAGGCAAGUACAAUUGUGUCAUUCUUUGAUGUGGGCAUGAAUAUCUCUUUGUCUUUCUGAAUCAUGCAAGUAUUGUUGAAUCGAUUUAUUUGUUUGGGCUUUCAUGAGAAUUAUUGUAGUAGCAUUUCUGCUUUUUCUUAGGAAAUCUGGAAUGAGGUGAGAGUGCUAUAAAGUCAGCUUUUGGAAAUAACAGGUCAGCAUAAGCACUGGCACAGAGAGAAAAAAAAAGCACAGGAGAUACAAAGGAGUAUUCAACAGUAGCAUGAGCAGCAGAAGAGUCAAGGAGGGUAAAAAAACGAGGUGUCAUUGAAAACUUUAACUGUAGAGUAUUGACUGGAAUGAAUCCACCAGUGAGUGUACAGGAAGGAAACUAAAACUGAUUAAAUAUGACCAGCUGAAUGAGUGUGGAGAUGGGAGGCUUGCUGCUGAGAGCCAGUUUGGUCCUGGGCCCAUUUGUGCCAUAUGGGAAAGAAAACCAUAAUAAACUGAAAUUGUUUAUCUUCCUCCAGAAAGCAUUUCACAUAAUAACAUGACGCUAUUAACUGCAUUCGAGCUUUUAACCGCAAACACCCAAUGUCAGCUUCCAGUGCUGUUUUCCCUAAGCUGUGUAUGAGGCAGCCUCAGCUCUGUAAAAUCGAUCUGUGUCUUCAAUUUCAUCAGCCACGUUAGACACCUGUGUUACUGCACCUGAACAGAUCGCAGUG